rnacentral:rRNA from 1 species
UACGUAGGGUGCAAGCGUUGUCCGGAAUUAUUGGGCGUAAAGAGCUCGUAGGCGGCCUGUUGCGUCCGCUGUGAAAGCCCGGGGCUUAACCCCGGGUCUGCAGUGGAUACGGGCAGGCUAGAGGUAGGUAGGGGAGAAUGGAAUUCCCGGUGUAGCGGUGAAAUGCGCAGAUAUCGGGAGGAACACCGGUGGCGAAGGCGGGUCUCUGGGCCGAUACUGACGCUGAGGAGCGAAAGCAUGGGUAGCGAACAGG